rnacentral:rRNA from 1 species
AGCGAACGCUGGCGGCAGGCCUAACACAUGCAAGUCGAACGAAGUCUUCGGACUUAGUGGCGGACGGGUGAGUAACACGUGGGAACGUACCUUUCGGUUCGGAACAACUCAGGGAAACUUGAGCUAAUACCGGAUGAGCCCUUAGGGGGGAAGAUUUAUCGCCGAAAGAGCGGCCCGCGUUAGAUUAGCUAUUUGGUGAGGUAAAGGCGAACCAAGGCUACGAGCUAUAGCUGGUCUGGGAGGAUGAUCAGCCACACUGGGACUGAGACACGGCCCAGACUCCUACGGGAGGCAGCAGUGGGGAAUCUUGCGCAAUGGGCGAAAGCCUGACGCAGCCAUGCCGCGUGAAUGAUGAAGGUCUUAGGAUUGUAAAAUUCUUUUACCAGGGACGAUAAUGACGGUACCUGGAGAAAAAGCCCCGGCUAACUUCGUGCCAGCCGCCGCAGUAAUAC